rnacentral:misc_RNA from 1 species
GAUGAAGAACGCAGCGAAAUGCGAUAAGUAAUGUGAAUUGCAGAAUUCAGUGAAUCAUCGAAUCUUUGAACGCACAUUGCGCCCGGUAGUAUUCUGCCGGGCAUGCCUGUUCGAGCGUCAUUUCAACCAUCAAGCCCCCGGCUUGUGUUGGGGACCUGCGGCUGCCGCAGGCCCUGAAAAGCAGUGGCGGGCUCGCUGUCACACCGAGCGUAGUAGAUUUCAUCUCGCUCAGGGCGUGCUGCGGGUUCCGGCCGUUAAACCACCUUCAUAACCCAAGGUUGACCUCGGAUCAGGUAGGAAGACCCGCUGAACUUAAGCAUAUCAAUAAGCGGAGGA